GGAAUCUUGCGCAAUGGAGGAAACUCUGACGCAGCCACGCCGCGUGCCGGAAGACGGCCCUAUGGGUUGUAAACGGCUUUUGUUUGGGAAGAACUGCCCCGAUUUGUCGGGGCUUGACGGUACCAAUUGAAUAAGCACCGGCUAACUCCGUGCCAGCAGCCGCGGUAAUACGGAGGGUGCAAGCGUUGUCCGGAAUCAUUGGGUGUAAAGGGUGCGUAGGCUGGCGCCUAAGUCUGGGGUGAAAUCUUGCCGCUUAACGGUAAAAUGGCCCUGGAUACUGGGUGUCUUGAAUCUGACAGAGGUCGGUGGAAUUCGUAGUGUAGCGGUGAAAUGCAUAGAUAUUACGAAGAACAUCAGUGGCGAAGGCGGCCGGCUGGGUCAGUAUUGACGCUGAGGCACGAGAGCGUGGGGAGCGAACAGGAUUAGAAACCCGUGUAGUCC
rnacentral:rRNA from 1 species